UGAAGAAGAAGAAGAUGAUGAUGAUGGUGAUGAUGAUGAUGAUGAUCAUCAUCAUCAUCACCAUCAUCAUAAUCAUGUUCG
rnacentral:pre_miRNA from 1 species